rnacentral:lncRNA from 1 species
UACCCUUGAAGCUCAUCCUUGAUUACACAAGGGAUUCACCCAAGUGGAGGGCCUUCAAGUCACCUCCAAGCUUUUUGAAUCCUCCUUGUGUUUUCCUCCCUUUAGUGCUCCUUUGAUGAUUUGAGGAAAUAAGGAUUUGUUCUCCAAAAACAUCAAAAGCUUGAUGUCUCUAAGUCUCUUCACCAAAGAUGUAUAUUGUGAAGAUGAUAUGGAUGACUUAGAGAGAUUUUAGAUGCUAGUAAAAAUCCUCUAAGUGGCCGGCCUCUAUGUAGAAAAUGAGAGAAAAUGUUUCACCCAAUUUCUAUUAGAAAAAACCCUAAUGAGAAACAAAGCUAUAAAGAUGACUUUAUACUUCAUCUCUUAGGUUAGUGGCAAACUUGCAAUUAAGCAAAAUUUCCCACUACCCUUGCUAUGGCCGGCCUCCUUUUGUUAUUGGGCUAAAUGCCCAUAUUUGUUUUAGUUGUCAUACAACUUAAACAUAAUGGGCCUAGUGGACCAAAACAAUUUUGGACCCCGA